rnacentral:rRNA from 1 species
GACGAACCGAGCGAACGUUGUUCGGAAUCACUGGGCUUAAAGGGCGCGUAGGCGGGCUGUCAAGUCUGGGGUGAAAUCCCACGGCUCAACCGUGGAACUGCCUUAGAUACUGACGGCCUCGAGGGAGAUAGGGGCGAGCGGAACUGUGAGUGGAGCGGCGAAAUGCGUUGAUAUUCACAGGAACUCCGGUGGCGAAGGCGGCUCGCUGGAUCUUUUCUGACGCUGAGGCGCGAAAGCUAGGGGAGCAAACGGG